rnacentral:lncRNA from 1 species
AGUUAGCAUCAGUUGUGUCUUCAACAUCCUAUCCUUCAAUACAUCUCAAAAGUAUCCUUAAUAAAUAUGGCUUUCCGAAUUGUUGCUGUGCUCUGUGUCCUGGCCGUCUUUGCCCAGGCGUCGCAACUUUCUUCUGCUGGACAAGGAGCAACCGUGGGAUCUCGUACCUUAGGCGUCGUUCCAUCAGGGCCUGGUCCUGUCUCUGCCGGUUCUCCAGGACGCUAUCGCCCUGUCAUUGGAUCGGCUGUAGCUCAGCCUAAGCGUCCUGUGGCAGCCCCGGGAUCAGUUGUCUCCGCUCCUGCUGGCGCCACUCGUCGUGUGUCUGGAUCUCGCCAUCAAAGCGCUCUUCCUGUGGCUGCUUCUCGCCCACAGGCUACUGGAUCUUACCCACGGGCUGCUGCUGCUCCAGCCAUCGGUUCUCGCCCUCGCCAGACUGUGGGCCCAGUUUCACCCAUUCGUCAGCCUCAGGUUGCAUAUGGAAAUCAGAAACCAAAACCCUACUAACCCGACUGCCGGCAACCCAUUGAAACAAACUAUCAAGCGAACUAUGUCUAAGCUUCUUAAAUAUUAAUUGCAAAUAAAAUAAAAUCGUAUUUACAUGAGAUCCACUUUAUCAGAA